ACAAAAAGGAGGCCCCAACAAAAAAUUCCCCCAAUUUUUGUUUGGUGAAUUUUUUUUCAUCUACCCAAAAUUCAUUGCCGCCUACAGAAUCCCAAAGUUUAAGUUAUAGCCAAAAUGCUUACAUUACUUAUUUUAUCAUUGGAAUGCCUAAAUCUUCUUAGUUCUGCAACAUCGACGCCGGCGAAUAGCAGCAAUGACAACAACCACUAACACGACGACAACAACCACUAACACGACGACAACGCUAUUCCUUGGCUAUAGCAACAGCUGUGACGACAUCGCCUCCUCUCUCACAAUCUUUUUCACACCAACUCAUUAUUUCUCUACCGGAACCGAAUCUGGAAUUGGUAUUGCGUUUUCACUUAUUUGUUCAUGGAUUGGUACAGAUUUUGCGCUAAAGGGAAACACAACUCAAAGGUCAGUUGGAGGACAUAUAUUUGUGUGCAGUGUAUGCAGUUGCACUAUUGUAAUGUGACUUGGUUGUUAAAGUAUUGAAGUAUAUCAUCCUCUGUGAUGUAUCUUAGGUUUUGAUAUAAAGCUAUCAUUUCUCUCCUUAUAGGGUGAACCUCAUAUUCUUAUAUUUUGCUUAGUCAAGUUUACACAUGAGCAGUUCCACAUUCUCUUAUGUGUUUUGGAUGUAGUUCAACCUCCAAUUAUCUUCAAAAUAAAAAUAUCUCAUGUGAGUUUCCUUCUAAUCUCUUCAUUCCUGUUAUUUAAUCUACCACUUACUAAAACCUUUUGUCCACGAAAUGCAUUUGUCGCUAAACUAUUUAUGUAAAGAAGCAACUUUUUGUUGGGUGGGCUUUUUCCCAACACUUUUGAAGACAAUUUCCUCUACAUUUAUUUUCCACCACAACACUUGAUAGUUAUCUCUCUAUUUGGCUUAAGUUGUGUUGGAUUGAAGACAUGAUAAUAAUUUAUGGUUAACAAUUUCUCAUAAUCAUCAUGAUAUCACUUAGACAAGUUAUAUUAUGGCUAAUAAUUUUUCUUUAUAAUUGUGCCACUCAAAUUCAUGGUUAAUUCAUGGUUAUUAUGUUGUACGAUGUUAUGUUGAAAUCAGAGCUAUUCUAGUUGUGCAAUUGAGGUUCCGAACUACAAUCCAUUGGUUGAGGUGAAGAUUUAAAAUUAAUUUGUCGUUGAAGAGAGUUUUGGCAAUUAAGUGAAUAUUUAAUUUUUUUUUUUUUGAUAUUGUUAUAUAAAACUUUGUAUUCCUAUUAUUUUGUCAGUAAGGCAGUUCUUGUAUUAUUAGUAAAUACUCUAAAGUUAACAUGGUUUAGCUAUUUUGAUAUGCUUGUAAGAAUUUUUGUUAAUUUAUAAUAUAUAUGAUGAAUAAUUUUUAUUUCA